GUGUCAGCCGCCGCGGUAAGACGAACCGUGCGAACGUUAUUCGGAAUCACUGGGCUUAAAGCGCGUGUAGGUGGCUUGGCACGUCUCUCGCUGAAAUCCCCUGGCUCAACCAGGGAAGUGGCGGGGAUACGACCAAGCUUGAGGGGGGUAGGGGGGACGGGAACUCACGGUGGAGCGGUGAAAUGCGUUGAGAUCGUGAGGAACGCCCGCGGCGAAAGCGCGUCCCUGGACCCCACCUGACACUGAGACGCGAAAGCCAGGGGAGCGAACGGGAUUAGAUACCCCGGUAGUCC
rnacentral:rRNA from 1 species